CUGCAGUCCCUGCCUACACGAGCUGCUGCUCGUAGCUGCUGUCGGCGACCACGUUCCGAAGCUCCUGCUUCCGGCCACAACUCCGUGCUGCUGAUGCCGACCAUCUCCAGCUCAAGCUGCUGCCCCUGGAUGAGUGGAUGGGCUGGAGAGAUUGGUGGGUACAUCUCAGAGCAGCACACUCGCCGGUCCAGGAGCAACCUUCUUCUGCUCUGUGAACCGCCUUCAUCGUCAAGGUCAUGUUCCUGUUCUGAUAUGCCUCUUUUGUGGACCUAGGAUUCUGGUCUCGUCUACAUUUGUAGCUGCAUCUCUUAUUAGGUACAGGAAGUCAAUUUGGUCUCAUUUUAUGUGGCAAGGCAUAUAGAUGGUCUCGGAAAUUGCUGCGCCUCAGCAUGUGAAGUUGGAGCCAAGGAGAUUGUAGGCGAGUAAGUUUCUGCUGCUGCUGCCGGUGUCCAGCGCGCCCUGCUGCCCCUGCCUUCUUCGACUUGGACGUCUCCUACACUACUGGGUCACCCUGAAGGUCUCUCUUUCUCUCUCGAGUAGUCCCUAUUUUCCUUGGACUGCACUGUGUAUGUUUGCGGCUAUUGAUUCUCCUCCACCAAGAUUUUAUUUUGUUUACUACAUUGCUGUGAUGUAAAGGUGUUGGGCAUCAUUGAUUAUUUAUUAUGCUUGACUUGGUAUGGUGAAAUCGGUUGAAACAUAUGUCUUAGUCUUGCUGAAA